rnacentral:misc_RNA from 1 species
UUUCCGUAGGUGAACCUGCGGAAGGAUCAUUAAUAAAUGGUCUACGUUUUUUGAGUAGACCUUAAUAAUCCUACCCUUUGUGAAUUUGUUGUUUGAAAUAAUUUUUUUUAAAAUUAUUGAUUGUCUUUCCUGUUGAAUGGUGUUUUCGAAUGCAAAUAUCGCAGGGAGUGUCAGUAAUUUUUAAAAAGACCUUUUUUAAAUUAAACUUUUUGUAUUCAUUGUCUAAAAUUAUUUUUAUAAUAUAAAAACAACUUUUGACAAUGGAUCUCUUGUUCUCGCAACGAUGAAGAACGCAGCAAAAUGCGAUAAGUAGUGUGAAUUACAGAAUACGUGAAUCAUCGAAUCUUCGAACGCAUAUUGCACUUUUUUAGUUUACUAAAAAAGUAUGUCUGUUUGAGUAUCAGUAAAAUAUUCUCAUAAAAAACAUUGUUUUUUAUGGUUAUGAGUGUUUUACAACGAUACAAGUUGUUUCACUUUAAAUUUUUUUAAAAUUUGAAUUUUUCUAAUUUUAAAAUAAAAUUGGAUAAAUUUUCCCGUAAAAAGGAAUAACCUAAACAAUUUUAAAUUUUUGAUUAGAAUUCUUCACAUUCUAAAGGAAAAUUUAACUAAAUAACUUGAUCUCAAAUCAGAUAAGAGUACCCGCUGAACUUAAGCAUAUCGAUAGCGGAGGAAAAGAAACUAACAAGGAUUCCCUUAGUAACGGCGAGUGAAGCGGGAAGAGCUCAAAUUUGAAAUCUUCAAGGUUUUACCUUGACGAAUUGUAGUUUAAAGAAGUGUUUUCUGUUGAAGUUUUGGUAAAAGUUCUUUGGAAUAGGACAUCAUAGAGGGUGAGAAUCCGUAUUUGACCAUUAUUUUCAGCUGUGUGAUACACUUUCAAAGAGUCGGAUUGUUUGGGAAUGCAGUCCAAAAUGGUGGUAAAUUUCAUCUAAAGCUAAAUAUUGGCGAGAGACCGAUAGCGAACAAGUACCGUGAGGGAAAGAUGAAAAGAACUUUGAAAAGAGAGUUAAACAGUACGUGAAAUUGUCAAAAGGGAAGCGUUUGACACCAGUGUUGUUUUCUCGAAAAUCAAUUAAAAAAAGUUGGAUUUUGUGUUGUAUUGACCUUAACAGCUUGCUUCACUCUUUUCCUGCUUUUUUUAAUGCACUUUUCGUUUAACAAGUCAACAUCAGUUUCUUUUGUUGUAAAAGGGUCAUUGGAAGGUGGCUUUCUCUUCGGAGAAAGUGUUUAUAGCCUUUGAUCUCUGCAAUCGGAGAGACUGAGGUCUGCAGCGUAGAUCCUUCGGGUUAGAUACAUUUGUGCUAAGCUACAGCUUUUCAUAGACAACUUGUUGACUAUGUUUAGUCUUGUAACUUACCCGCUUAUGCUAUUUUACCUACGCUUAGGAUGUUG